CGCACGGGUGCGUAACACGUAUGCAACCUGGCCACUACUGGGGGAUAGCCCGGGGAAACUCGGAUUAAUACCCCAUAACACAGUGAAAUCGCAUGGUUUUACUGUUAAAGAUUUAUCGGUAGUGGAUGGGCAUGCGUCCGAUUAGCUAGUUGGCAGUGUAACGGACUACCAAGGCGACGAUCGGUAGGGGGUCUGAGAGGAUGAUCCCCCACACUGGUACUGAGAUACGGACCAGACUCCUACGGGAGGCAGCAGUAGGGAAUAUUGGGCAAUGGAGGCAACUCUGACCCAGCCAUGCCGCGUGCAGGAAGACGGCCUUCUGGGUUGUAAACUGCUUUU
rnacentral:rRNA from 14 species